rnacentral:rRNA from 1 species
UACGUAGGGUGCAGGCGUUAAUCGGAAUUACUGGGCGUAAAGCGUGCGCAGGCGGUCUCUUAAGUCAGGUGUGAAAUCCCCGGGCUUAACCUGGGAACUGCGCUUGUAACUGAGAGGCUAGAGUGUGGCAGAGGGGGGUGGAAUUCCACGUGUAGCAGUGAAAUGCGUAGAUAUGUGGAGGAACACCGAUGGCGAAGGCAGCUCCCUGGGCUAACACUGACGCUCAUGCACGAAAGCGUGGGGAGCAAACAGG